CCGUCUGUUUCCAUGCUCGGUCAGCGUGUCCACGCCUGCUGAUCUUGAGCCGGAUGCCCAUACUUGUAUGAGCACAAGACAAGAACAUUCACAACGCUUUUUGAGUACGAGGCCUUUAUUUCUCUUAUGGAGGUUAUCGUAAUUUAUCUGUUGUUACAUGC
rnacentral:snoRNA from 1 species